CCCGGUUGAUGAGGAAGUCAACCAGCUGUUUUAACUUUCGUCCGGUUGGCCGGUAGGUAGCAAAGCUGAAUUGUCUUCAAACAAUACCACUCGGAGUGUUUAGUCAUGGCCGACAUCAGUGGAAACAACAGCCCCCGAGCUGAAGACAACGAUGACACCAAUUACCGAGAUGUCUCUGAGCCUGCGCCCGGGACGAACCCAUCGGCGUUUCCUGCUCGUCACGAGGGGAAUAAAAAAAUUAUCCUACAUGUGGACCUCAAUAACACCAUUCUGGUGUCAGACGCAGUAACGUGCCAAGGGACAGUGGCUGCCCUGGAUUAUUUUAUGACGACUGUCACUUGGGGCAAAAUGAGCAAAGGCAAGUGGGAAUGGUUGAGUAACUCUCCUUCCCUGCUUCCACCAUGUGACGAUGCCAUCAACUACUACUCUCAGUUUGGAACUACUCCUGGGUUCACCUCUGCUGCAGGUAGAUGCUUUCGUGGGAUUCUGGAGGAACAUCUUAACUUGCUGCGCUGGCCUGAGGGUGUAAAGGGAGACCGAGAGCUGACAAUAAAGGCGGAGGAUGGACGACUCUACCACUGGAUCCUUCCUUCCUUUUUCCAGCUGCUCAAAGACCUGACGCAGCAAGGGACCGAGUUUGCCGUCCACUUUCGUACGUUUGGAAGUGACCUACCUCGUGUGCUAAAUGCUGUAUCCAAAGCACUGACCCAGGGCGCCCAUCCCCUGUUUCCUGAUCUCCCUGAUCUGAAGUUAAGUGUGAACAAGACACCAGGCAAGAUCCGCUGCAGCCCGAAAGGGGUUCUUCUGACCAGAGGCGCAGAGCGACUGUCGACCCGUGACGGAGAGAGAGGGCUGUACCAAUUCUUUAGCAGCGCAAAUGGACUCGGAGGCUUCCAGGAUGACUAUGAAUGGUGGAUGACUAAAACGUUCUCCAUCCAGGGCGGGAAGCCGUUGUGGGUGGAUCCCUUUGACAAGCACGUUCAACACAUCUUCAUAGAUGACAACAUACGACGGAAUGAUGAGGAUACUGUAGUGCAUCCCAAGGUAGCACACAACUAUGACCUUUGGCACAGCUCUUUUUUUCCACUUAUUUUUCACACACAUUUUCAAUCUCAUUUGUAAUAUUUCAUAUAGGAUAUAAUGAACAGAGGGCAGUAUUCUCACUCUCUGCCACACUAAUUUUUAACUCAUUCCCUGCCACUGCUGUCCAAAGAUGUCAUUUGGAAUCGAGCUAUUCCCUGCCAAUGCCAUCUAAAGACGUCAAUGGCUUUUUUUUUUUUUUAACGGGGAUGAGUGGGGGAGGGUCUUGUGCAGUUUAUGUGUGAUUGUCAAGCCUCUGGAUAACUGCAAUGAGAAUGGCACCCUGUAGAGGGCAACAAUGCCUUGAGGUGAACAAGAGGAAGAAGAAGAAGGCGGGGUGCAAGAGACAAUGAGAAGAGGCAAGUAUAAUGGCGGAAAAGAGAGAAGACAAAAUGAAAAAAUUGAGGAAAAAAAAAGCUUUCGGUAAUAGAAAUUUACUGCGCCAUGGCAAGAAAAAUAUUCCUGCGACCGACAGGAAUGACUCUUUAGUCAGGAGUGUCAAACUCAUUUUUGUCUCGGGCCGCAUUGUAGUUAUGAUUUCCCUCAGCCAUUAGAACAGUGAAAUCAUAUAAAUGUUUAAUCACCAAAUCAUAUUAUUACCAUUACACAAAAAAUUUAGGGCUAACUAGUUUUGAACUCAGAAGACAAGGAUAAUAGAUUGUUCAAGUAUUGUUUAAGUUACUGUAGAAGAAGGGUUUGGUUACAGAAAAAUGCAAUAUCUCAACAUAACUGUUAUUAUGACAAUUUGGAAUUUGGGUACAGAUUUUAGCAAAAAUCACGGAAGUUGACGAGCAUGAUUUGCUUUCGCGGGCCACAUAGAAUAAUGUGGCAGGCCGCAUCUGGCCCCUAGGCCUUGAGUUUGACACCUAUGCCUUAGCUCAUGCAAGGGAAUAAAGGAUGACACUCCGAGCCGAUCGCUGUGUUGCAAAGGUAUCGCCCAAAAUGCUGGGCCAUAUGGCGAGGUGCUCUCGGCACCUUGCCAGCUGAUCGUCUGCCGACCAGGAUUUGAGUACCGUAUUUUCACGACCAUAAGGCGCACCGUUUUAAAAGGCGCAGUCUCAGUUACGGGGUCUAUUUCUGUAUUUAACACAUACAUAAGGCGCACCGUAUUAUUGGGCGCAGGCAUGGUAAAACAUACGGUAGCAUGCAUGCACUCUAAAACAUAUGCUAGCAUGCAUGCUAGCGUAUGUUUUUAAAAAAAGGCAGCGGCAGCAAAACUGAGUUUGGUUGUACUUUAUUGAAGUAUUUAACAUUAUUUUUUUGAUCAAUCCUCAUCCACAAAUCCAUCAAAGUCCUCAUCUUCUGUAUCCGAAAUUAACAGCUUGGCAAGUUCUCCAUCAAACAUGCCGGUUUCCCUCUCGUCAUUGUCGGAGUCAGUCUCGCUGCCAGGGAGGGGGCUGUUCAGUAAUGAUGCUUCUGUGGCUGCUCUUUGAUCACUAAUCUAUUGCUCGAGUUGGUCUUCUCGGGCCACCUCGCCUUGUUUCCGCGGAAACUCAGCUUCGUCUUCUCCUCGUUUUCCUGCUUCCUCCACUUGCGAACCAUGGAUUCGUUGAUCUUGAAUUCUCUCACGGCUGCUCGAUUCCCAUGUUCCUCCGCGUAACUGAUAGCUUGCAGUUUAAACUGUGCUUCGUAAGCGUGUCUCUUUGUAGGUGCCAUUUUCGGGGGUCCUUGGCCAAACCGAUGUUGUUUUGCACAAUGCACAUACCAGCACUAUAUAUCUGCUGGGGGCGUGCCUUUAGCGUCUUCUGUCUCAGUCUGUCCUCAGUCACGUCAGCCUUUCCUCUCUAUAUAAGCAGCGUGUCAGCAGGAAAUGCUCCCAGUCAGUCAAACGGCGCGCUCAUCAAAGCAACAAACAACAUUUACAGAUUUUGGAACUCGGCGCACACAUAAGGCGCGCCGCAUUAUAAGGCGCCCGUCCAUUUUGGAGAAAAUUUAAGACUUUUAAGUGCGCCUUAUGGUCGUGAAAAUACGGUAAAUGGGAUCUGGAAUCGUCACACGAGUGAACUCCCUCUGGAUCGCCUGGAAGCAGCAGAGCUUCAUCCGGAGCUUCUUCCGGCUGAUAAAUGGAGACAAAGGUAACUCAUUUGCAACUCUCGUUAGCUAUAUUUAUCGAGCAAACAUGCUCCUCAAUCCUUGCUACAUAAAAAUAAUUUAGUCCCACUAGUUUACAUGACAAUGUAACAUCUGUUACCAGUACUGAUUUGAAUUUUCCAUUUCCAGCUCGUCCAUCUUGCAGUAAUGGAACACCUGCAAGACGUCAUUUAGGAUUGCAAAAAAGAAAAGUUAUGCAUCCAGGAGAUGUUCGACUCCCAUUCCAGUACACAGUGCAAACAAAAAGUUGUGCUUCGAGCAGAAGUAGGGACUGGUUUCAAGGACAAUGACAACCACACAAGAUCCCGUUCACCGCCACCUAAGAAUAAAAUCCAGAUGUGGAUAAAACGUUGCUAGAUUUUAUGCGCAAGGUAAUAAAAACCUGGAGCAAAAGGCAGAGGAGGAGAAUUACGAGCAAGAAAGUGCAAGUGUGGAGCCCCAUUUGUUCAUGGAUAUUCUGUACAUAGUUUUACAUGUAAAUACAAUUUUCUGUCAAAAGUACUUUCUCAGUGUUUUAUGUUCAGAUGUUUGAGAUUUUCACUAAAUAAAAAAAAUAUUGGUG